GACGAACGCUGGCGGCGUGCUUAACACAUGCAAGUCGAACGGAAAGGCCCUGCUUUUGUGGGGUGCUCGAGUGGCGAACGGGUGAGUAACACGUGAGUAACCUGCACUUGACUUUGGGAUAACGUCAGGAAACUGGGGCUAAUACCGGAUAGGAGCUCCUGCUGCAGGGUGGGGGUUGGAAAGUUUCGGCGGUUGGGGAUGGACUCGCGGCUUAUCAGCUUGUUGGUGGGGUAGUGGCGUACCAAGGCUUUGAAGGGUAGCCGGCCUGAGAGGGUGACCGGCCACACUGGGACUGAGAUACGGCCCAGACUCCUACGGGACGCAGCAGUGGGGAAUAUUGCACAAUGGGCGGAAGCCUGAUGCAGCAACGCCGCGUGCGGGAUGACGUCCUUCGGGUUGUAAACCGCUUUCGCCUGUGACGAAGCGUGAGUGACGGUAAUGGGUAAAGAAGCACCGGCUAACUACGUG
rnacentral:rRNA from 1 species